rnacentral:rRNA from 1 species
GUGGGGAAUUUUGGACAAUGGGCGAAAGCCUGAUCCAGCAAUGCCGCGUGUGUGAAGAAGGCCUUCGGGUUGUAAAGCACUUUUGGCAGGGAAGAAACAGUGCGUGCUAAUACCAUGCGCGAAUGACGGUACCUGCAGAAUAAGCACCGGCUAACUACGUGCCAGCAGCCGCGGUAAUACGUAGGGUGCAAGCGUUAAUCGGAAUUACUGGGCGUAAAGCGUGCGCAGGCGGCUUUGUAAGACGGAUGUGAAAGCCCCGGGCUCAACCUGGGAAGUGCAUGCGUGACUGCAAGGCUAGAGUGUGUCAGAGAGAGGUGGAAUUCCGCGUGUAGCAGUGAAAUGCGUAGAGAUGCGGAGGAACACCGAUGGCGAAGGCAGCCUCCUGGGAUAACACUGACGCUCAGGCACGAAAGCGUGGGGAGCAAACAGGAUUAGAAACCCGGGUAGUCC